AAAUCUGGCCUCUUCGGGGUCCGAGUUGUAAUUUGUAGAGGAUGCUUCGGAGUCGGCUCCGGUCUAAGUGCCUUGGAACAGGACGUCACAGAGGGUGAGAAUCCCGUAUGUGGCCGGCCGCCUUCUCCAUGUGAAGCUCCUUCGACGAGUCGAGUUGUUUGGGAAUGCAGCUCUAAAUGGGAGGUAAAUUUCUUCUAAAGCUAAAUAUUGGCCAGAGACCGAUAGCGCACAAGUAGAGUGAUCGAAAGAUGAAAAGCACUUUGGAAAGAGAGUUAAAAAGUACGUGAAAUUGUUGAAAGGGAAGCGCUUGCAACCAGACUUGCCCGCGGUUGCUCAACCGGCCUUUUGGCUCGGUGCACUCUUCCGCGGUCAGGCCAGCAUCGGUUCGGGCGGUCGGAUAAAGGCCUUGGGAAUGUAGCACCCUUCGGGGUGUGUUAUAGCCCUCGGUGCAAUGCGGCCAGCCUGGACCGAGGUCCGCGCUUCGGCUAGGAUGCUGGCGUAAUGGUUGUAAGCGGCCCGUCUUGAAACACGGACCAAGGAGUCUAACAUCUAUGCGAGUGUUUGGGUGUCAAACCCAUGCGCGUAAUGAAAGUGAACGGAGGUGGG
rnacentral:rRNA from 1 species